rnacentral:misc_RNA from 1 species
GAUGAAGAACGCAGCGAAAUGCGAUAAGUAGUGUGAAUUGCAGAAUUCCGUGAAUCAUCGAAUCUUUGAACGCACAUUGCGCCUUCUGGUAUUCCGGAAGGCAUGCCUGUUCGAGAGUUAUUAACAACCGUUUCGAUCCCUUUCUUUCAGAAAUUACAAAGAGGAAAAGGGUUUGGUUAUGGUGGAGGAGGGAAAGGGAGCGUUUAGCCUGUAAAAAAAGAGGCUGUGUUCCGCCUCCCCCCCAAAAUUGUACAGGCGGUCGUGUGCGCCCACGCAUCGAGGUGUUGUAAAAGCUGCCACGGCACUUUUCACCUGUGCAGUGCGAGAUUGGCCAGCCGGUUUAAAAACCCCUCCAAACAAUCAAAGGUUGACCUCGGAUCAGGUAGGGAUACCCGCUGAACUUAAGCAUAUCAAUAAGCGGAGGA